CCUACGGGGGGCAGCAGUGGGGGAUAUUGCACAAUGGGGGGAACCCUGAUGCAGCGACGCCGCGUGGGUGAAGAAGCGCCUCGGCGCGUAAAGCUCUGUCAGCAGGGAAGAAAAUGACGGUACCUGAAGAAGAAUCCCCUGCCAAUUACGGGCCAGCAGCCGCGGUAAUACGUAGGGGGCAAGCGGUAUCCGGAUUUAAGGGGUGGAAAGGGGGCGCAGACGGCGAUGCAAGCCAGGAGUGAAAGCCCGGGGCCCAACCCCGGGACUGCACUUGGAACUGCGUGGCUGGAGUGCAGGAGAGGCAGGCGGAAUUCCUGGUGUAGCGGUGAAAUGCGUAGAUAUCAGGAGGAACACCGGUGGCGAAGGCGGCCUGCUGGACUGCAACUGACGUUGAGGCCCGAAAGCGUGGGGAGCAAACAGGAUUAGAUACCCUUGUAGUC
rnacentral:rRNA from 1 species